rnacentral:lncRNA from 1 species
AAUAACUCAAAGAACCAAAACACAAACCACUGGGUCGAUGACCCAGGGAUCCUAACAGUACCCCCCCUUAAGGGCUGGCUUCCAGACAGCCCAAACCAGAACACCAAAAACGAAAAACAACCCAACCAGGGCGGGCGGUGGGGAAACAGGACGGAGGGCUUGAAACAACCAAACAAGGAGCAAGAAACAAAAAAAGCGCAAACACCGGAGCCUGGAAAGCAACAUAACAAAACACACAGGCGGCCAGGAAAAACAAUCCACACAAAGUUCAGGGGGCCGGCCCGGAGGACGACGGCCCAAGAGUCCAAACCCGGGCAGUUCAGGGGCCGGCCCGGAGGACGACGGCACAAGAGUCCAGAAAAAAGCUCAGGAGGCCGACCGGGCGGGAGGCACCGGCGGCGACGGAGCAGGUCAGGAGGCCGGCCGGGCGGGAGGCACCGGCGGCGACGGAGCAGGUCAGGAGGCCGGCCGGGCGGGAGGCACCGGCGGCGACGGAGCAGGUCAGGAGGCCGGCCGGGCGGGUGGCACCGGCGGCGACGGAGCAGGUCAGGAGGCCGUCCACGAUGGCGAGGACGUCCAGUCGUUGGCCUGGAAAACGGCCGGACAGGACGUGCAGGACGAACAGGCCGGACAGGACGUGCAGGACGAACAGGCCGGACAGGACGUGCAGGACGAGCAGGCGAAGCCAGAGCUGGACCAGGCGACGGCGAAGCAGAAGCCAGAGCUGGACCAGGCGACGGCGAAGCAGAAGCCAGAGCUGGACCAGGCGACGGCGAAGCAGAAGCCAGAGCUGGACCAGGCGACGGCGAAGCUGCAGGCGACGAAACAGGUGGUGGCACUGCAGGCGACGGCGUGGGAGCCGCAGGAGGUGGCAACGAAGGCUGGAUGGGCCCCUCAGACCCUCCAGCGAAGGCGAACAAAGACUGGUGCGGUUCUCCAGAACCCCCAGCGGGAACAGAAGGCUGGACGGGCCCCUCGGACCCUCCAACGGAGACAAACAAAGGCUGGUGCGGUUCUCCAGAACCCCAAGCGGGAACAGAAGGCUGGACGGGCCCCUCGGACCCUCCAGGCGAGGCAGGUGGUAACAGAGCAGGCGACUGA